rnacentral:rRNA from 1 species
AUUGAACGCUGGCGGCAGGCCUAACACAUGCAAGUCGAGCGGAUGAAGGGAGCUUGCUCCUGGAUUCAGCGGCGGACGGGUGAGUAAUGCCUAGGAAUCUGCCUGGUAGUGGGGGAUAACGUCCGGAAACGGGCGCUAAUACCGCAUACGUCCUGAGGGAGAAAGUGGGGGAUCUUCGGACCUCACGCUAUCAGAUGAGCCUAGGUCGGAUUAGCUAGUUGGUGGGGUAAAGGCCUACCAAGGCGACGAUCCGUAACUGGUCUGAGAGGAUGAUCAGUCACACUGGAAGUGGAACACGGUCCAGACUCCUACGGGAGGGAGCAGUGGGGAAUAUGGGGCAAUGGGCGAAAGCCUGAUCCAGCCAGGCCGCGUGUGUGAAGAAGGUCUUCGGAUUGUAAAGCACUUUAAGUUGGGAGGAAGGGCAGUAAGUUAAUACCUUGCUGUUUUGACGUUACCAACAGAAUAAGCACCGGCUAACUUCGUG